AUCCACCACGGGUCUGCUCUGCAGCUUUGGAAUCUAUGAAUGAUACUCUAAUUGAAGCGAAACAGGCAAGCAGCCGAAGAGGUCAAGAUGAAGAUUUCCGAGGCUAUUGUGCAUCGUUGUUCGCGGUCCCUGUCAGCGAGAUCGGGUUUGGACCUCUAAGCGCUACACUCGACGUGCUGGAUGAUUAACAAUCUACAAAGUUAUGUCUUCUCCAGACUGACAGAGACCAAGUCAUUGCUGAGAAAAGCCCACACAAUGGAAACAUCCCUUUUGUCAAGCCAGCAUCCAGCAAAGAAAGAGAAUUGGUUCCCCAAACUCUUUUAACCAGCAUUGAGUGCACAGGAGCACAACUAUCAACACAAUCUGAGACACCAGUUCGACCCAAAGUACUCCAAGGAACUCAUCCCUUAAAGUCUGAAACUGAACGAGAAGGACACUCAAUUAAAAUGCUGUCCACCAAGAGUAAGCCAUCAUACUUCGCUUCUGAGAAAGCAAACACUUCAACUUCAUCCUCAAAGCCACAGAUGUCCACUUCCUCUCCCACAAUCCACAAAUCAAAACAACACCGUGGCUCUCCACACUCUCCAUUAUUUCCACAUCAUCAAACUGAGAUCCCAGACACCUUUCCUGAUCCAUCUCCCCUAAUCCCACAUGAGCAUAUCUCCCCCUUUCCGCCAUCACCCUCUUUAAAUUCGGCCCUCACUGUCUCGCCGUCAAGUUCAGCUUUACUCCUCAAUGCCUGCCGAUCGAAGCCAUUACAAAAGGGCUCAAUAUCACCUGUCCUCCCACAGAAGUUACAAUCAUCCCAGUUACUUCUUGAACCAAUCCCAUCAGCGACGCCUUCCCAAUCACCAACAAGCAAUCUAAAAAGCCCCAACCAAUCCCACCAGGAGUCUCUGCUUUUAGAUCAUUCCCUUCACUUUCCUUCAUCACCUAUAUCUUCCAGCACAAAUCCACUUCAAGGAGGAUUGAAACUCUUGUUUUCCAGCUCACCUGGAGUCAGUCCCUUGCCUAUUUGUAAAUGUGGCUCUAGCUCAUUAACAUAUGCAGACGCUACAGGUUUUAUGUCCUCUACUCCAACGACAAGUGCUGAAUCACUUCCAUCAUAUCUCUUGAAAGGCACACAGGAUCCUUUGAAGGCUGUGGAGAUGGAAGAGGAAGACACACCAACAGAUAGUGAAAGUGACAUGUCCAGUGACAGCCUGGAUUUGACAGCAUACGACUCUUCAAAUCAAGUAGGAGAGAAUAACAUUCCAUAGAUGUUCCACUGUACAAACAACAGACUUCACCCUUGCUCCUGAUGGGUCGUGGUUAGUGCCUUGCAUGGCAGCUCCCGCCAUCAGUCUGUGAAUGCGUGUGUGAAUGGGUGAAUGUGGAAAUAGUGUCAAAGCGCUUUGAGUACCUUGAAUGUAGAAAAGCGCUAUACAAGUAUAACCCAUUCAUAACCCAGAGGACAUGAUCUUCCUGAGGAGACCUAAAGUAGACUUUAUUAUUGUAGCUGACCUGGUUUGUUGCUUUAAAAGUUAUUACUUUGCAUUAUUCAUCAAAAGCUUGAAAAUACCCGAGGCAGAGGUGGUAAAGGUGCAAGUGCAGUGAAGGAAAAGAACAAAGUACUUAUAUAGUGCUGUAAUUUAUCCCUAAUGACCUAUAAUGCUUCUUUAAAAGUGUUGAAGCAAAAAUGAUGUCUGCGGUCGAGAGGCAAUCACGUAAAUAUGGCCUUUAAUCUUUCUGUUGUUUUUCUACUAUUAUAAACGUGGGCCCAUGCUGAUAGAUGUACUUUUUCAAGGUAUUCAACAACACAAGUACACACCUGUACUAAACUAAGUUAAGCUCUAUGGCACAUUGUAACUAAAUUACAGCGGUACCUUGGGGUACAAGUGCCUCAUCUUACGAGUUUGUCAGGAUACGAGCUAUCCUUAUGCUAAAGAAAUUGAUAAUAUGUAUUGAAUUAAAGAAAUACAUCAAAAACAGGUAGUCGCCUUGAUGAAGCAGUAGGAGUGUAGAACUGCUAGUUUGCACCAUACUGAAGCAGAAUGAGUAAAUAACGCCAGCCAAGGAUGUUUAAAUAUUAUCUAAACGGUGGACAUUUAUCCAUGAAAAUAUGGACAAGCUGCUAAUGAUGUGUGUCAGAAUAAUUGUAUCUAAGUUAUGACAAAACUUUGUGUUGCCAUGAGUUCCCGGCGAGAGGACAAAAGCUGUCUUUGAACCUACCAAGCAAAAGGCUUGUAAAACUCCACUGUGUAGGAUGGGAAGCAACAUGAAGGUGUUCUGUUUCUUUGAUGUAUUGUAAUCAUUGUUUUGACCCGAGAUCUACAAAGCGAAGAGGAAGCAGGACCUGACUCCCCUACAUGGACCUCUUCUUUGAACUGUUUUACGACCUUUUCUGCGAACUGUUUACGACCUUUUCUGUGAACUGUUCUGUAACCAAAGGCGAUGGCUGUUUACAAUUCCCGCCCCUUAGAAACAGCUGUUGCCAUGUAA